rnacentral:sRNA from 1 species
CGUGGCGUGGGGCUGCUCGGCCUCUCAGCGGCCAUGACGGUGUGGUGUGUAGGUUCCUAUCGUUAUUGCUUCCGUUGUUGGCCUGGGGCGCCGCGGAUGACCCUACAUAGCCCUUGGCCGGCCACCGGGAAGAUUGCGUCUCGUACUGACGAUCGUAACAAAGACGCACCGUGCUUUCCUUCUGAGGGUUUAGUCGCCCUAAUACGUGCAGCAGACUAGUCAUGUGGAAGUUUGUCUGCUGAAAGUAAGCGCCCUCCCGGGAGGAUGUGUUGAACUUUUGGGAAGGUUGGUGACUAAACUCUGCUUGUGCUAACUGCCCAGCAAUGACUCAGUUGAGAUCCAGAAGCCAGGAAGAAGGAAGGGGGCCUACUUAUUGGCCAAGAUGGCUGAUCGGGAUGAGUGCAGAUAUGAUUUUAGGCCGUGGGCCUGAGGUAUGUCCUCUGACCUCACCAGUGUCCUACAGAACUCCCCAUAUGGCUUUGGGCAGCUCUGAACUUAACUCUGGUAGCCAGCCUAUGUCUUAAGUUAUGGACUGGAUUUGGGUUGGCCUGGGUUUGACUGGUCUGUGUGUGGUAGUGGCACUGGAGAUGGGGAACCUCUAAAACUCAACAUCUCUACCUGACUGUACACGGUCUUAAAAGAUAUAAUUAUGAGUUGGGGGGGGGGGUUGGGGAUUUAGCUCAGUGGUAGAGCGCUUGCCUGGCAAGGCCCUGGGUUCAGUCCCCAGCUCCGAAAAAAAAGAAAAAAUGAGUUGGGGGGGGUGAUAGUGGUCCCUCCCUAUAGUUGAAGGCCAGCCUGGUCUACAAAGCAAGUUCCAGGGUGGCCAGAACUAUUAAACAAAUAAACCCUGUCUUGAAAAACUAAGAAGGAGAAAGAGUGAUCUAGGAGGGGAACUGGCUGUAGUAGAUGCUGUGACAUAAAUAAACUUGUCAAUUUUUA